rnacentral:rRNA from 2 species
AGCGUGCUUACACAUGCAGUCGAACGGUGAACACGGAGCUUGCUCUGUGGGAUCAGUGGCGAACGGGUGAGUAACACGUGAGCAACCUGCCCCUGACUCUGGGAUAAGCGCUGGAAACGGCGUCUAAUACUGGAUAUGUGACGUGACCGCAUGGUCUGCGUCUGGAAAGAAUUUCGGUUGGGGAUGGGCUCGCGGCCUAUCAGCUUGUUGGUGAGGUAAUGGCUCACCAAGGCGUCGACGGGUAGCCGGCCUGAGAGGGUGACCGGCCACACUGGGACUGAGACACGGCCCAGACUCCUACGGGAGGCAGCAGUGGGGAAUAUUGCACAAUGGGCGCAAGCCUGAUGCAGCAACGCCGCGUGAGGGACGACGGCCUUCGGGUUGUAAACCUCUUUUAGCAGGGAAGAAGCGAAAGUGACGGUACCUGCAGAAAAAGCGCCGGCUAACUACGUGCCAGCA